UACGUAGGUCGCAAGCGUUGUCCGGAUUUACUGGGCGUAAAGAGCGCGCAGGCGGCUGGUCAAGUCCGAUGUGAAAUCUCCCGGCUUAACUGGGAAACUGCAUCGGAAACUGAUCGGCUUGAAGGUGGGAGAGGGUAGUGGAAUUCCCGGUGUAGUGGUGAAAUGCGUAGAUAUCUGGAGGAACACCGGUGGCGAAGGCGGCAUCCUGGACCAACACUGACGCUGAGGAGCGAAAGCCAGGGGAGCAAACGGG
rnacentral:rRNA from 1 species